UAGGGAAUCUUCCACAAUGGACGGAAAAGUCUGAUGGAGCAACGCCGCGUGAGUGAAGAAGGGUUUCGGCUCGUAAAGCUCUGUUGGUAGUGAAGAAAGAUAGAGGUAGUAACUGGCCUUUAUUUGACGGUAAUUACUUAGAAAGUCACGGCUAACUACGUGCC
rnacentral:rRNA from 1 species